GACGAAGGGGGCUAGCGUUGUUCGGAAUUACUGGGCGUAAAGCGCGUGUAGGCGGCGUAGCAAGUCGGGCGUGAAAGCCCACGGCUCAACCGUGGAAGAGCACUCGAAACUGCUGCGCUAGAGUUCUGGAGAGGAAGGCGGAAUGCUUGGUGUAGAGGUGAAAUUCGUAGAUAUCAAGCGGAACACCGGUGGCGAAGGCGGCCUUCUGGACAGUGACUGACGCUGAAACGCGAAAGCGUGGGGAGCAAACAGG
rnacentral:rRNA from 1 species